CCUACAUUCUAAGGAAUUCAAAGAACAAUGCCCACUCUCUGGAGAUUUCCCGGGUUUCAUUUUCUAAUUGAAGGAAAAUCAAGUUUGAAGGAAAAUGAUCAGCAGAAAAGGGGAAUUCCAAGUUGUACAUAUUCUGAAAGAAAUUUCAAAUAGUGUUUCAACAUGACAAGCAAUAACGUCCAUGAUGUCAGUUGACCUCCAUAGUCCUCAAGGUACUCAGAAGAUGUCCAGAGCAGUUUGAAAGGUAAUGGGGCCUUUCACAACACUUCAGUAGACCAUGACCCUAAAGUGAAGCAGCUGACAGGAUUAUAAGUGUAAAAUAUUAUAUAAGACUAAUAAUUUCUCUAAGGAAUUGUGAGUAUAAAUAUAAGAUUAUUUUACAUGAUUAAAGAACACCAUGAGUUA